AGUAGAGUCCCUCUAGUAAGAGUCCGGCCAACGGUGGGCCUUGUUAGUGAUUGGCUCCGCCAUAUUAUGGGCUCUUUCCGGAAUAAAAUGGUGUGUGAAUACGUAUAUGGGAGAGAUUCGCAUUGUGUAGUGUGGGUAGUGUCAAGCCCUGUACGGCGAGUUGUCUGUAGUUGGCGCGAGACUAGACCGAGUCUCGCGCAAUGUCAUGGUGGCGCCAAACAAGCCCUUAAUAUGGCGUCCCUUCCGGGUGUUGGCCGGACUCUUACUAGAGGGACUCUACUUCAGAGAUAAAAUUCUACUGUGAUUUUCAUGCUACUUGAAGAAACUACUCCGAUGAUCGAUAAAGGUUGUCUCCUGCUUUCAAAUACAUUUUCAAAUACAUUUCUCCGGCUUACAUCCAAAGAGCCCUAAGUGUAGUUAAUCAAUUUCACACGGUACAUUUAAAUAAUACCUUCAUCCAUUUAACGUGCAUAUAUCUAAAGUAUUCAAAUUAAACACAUAUUUCCUUGCAGAAUUAAGUGGUUACAGAGUCGAUUGAAUAUCCAUGAUUCCUCGUUUAUCGUAUCACCCAUGAACGGAUGACAAAUCGUCAUAACCAUCAAUCCCAGUUGCAUUUUACAUAACCACAUGGAGAACUCGUUUUGUAUAAUUUUUACGAAACUCUAAGACUGAAGUGCGGCUCCUUCUUCCUGCAAUACUAACCAGGACUUCAUAUCAACUGACUGAUCUAGAAUAUACUGGAUUACUGAAAGACAUUUUCGUUUCGUAAUGAUAAGUCCAAUAACAAAAAGAUCUAAAAGUUGAUCUCAAUGACGUAUUCCUUAAAAUAUCAUCUAGAAAAAUCACGUUUGUCCCAAUUAAUAAAUAGAAAUACUCAAUAUAAACGCAAUCUGAUAACACGUAGUGUCUGCAAAGGAUCUUCAUCGAUGAAUUAUCUGAUUCAGAUCAAAGCCAUAGACAUAGCAAUAAAAAAUUAAUUAUUAAAUUCAACCAGAACAUCCAAUUUACUACGUAAUGUCAAAGUCUGCUCGUACAAUAACAUUUUUUAAAUGUUCUUUAACGUAUAACAUUAAAAACGCAAUCAUUAUCAAAAAAAGAUUCAAAUUGAACAAAAUACCCAGUGACUACCAGCUAUUAAUCAAAACGUCUUAAGACACAUUCGGACUUUGCCAUACAGCAUAAAUUUCAAACUGUCAGACUAGCCAAAACAUUGAAACGUAUAAUUAUAUAAUCCAUAGCGUCUACAACAAAUUUUUAGAAUCGUAAUCUUGAGGGGUUUAAGAGCUACUAGAUAAAGACAAGGUGACUCCGCACGCGUCUUAAAUAUAUAACGAAUUUGUUUUGAAUUCCAAUGACCGCGAGCCCCCAACCUAAUAAUUUUUAAUUUGUUAAGCAAUAUCUUAAUCUCGUCUCGCCUUAAAUCCGGAGGCACGUACUUCAAUGAUAUACGAUUAAUUUACUCCACUGGAUAACCUCCUAGUCUAAUUUUAAAUGACAGACGCACCAAUAUUACAUCCACAUAAUAUCCAUACAUCCGACAAUCACAUAGCAAAUGGAAAAUCAUGAGAACCGAUGUGUAUUCGUAAUACUUUUGACCUAUAACGAAACUCUAACUGGAUCGAACCGGAUCCAAGUACUCUUAGUCGGCAUAGAAAUGUUGUUUUCCAAGGUAGAGAGGUUAGCUACUGGCAUUAGGGUGUUAGAUAUACUUUUCAUACUGUCUACAUGUAUACUUUUUUUGAUACCGUACUCGCUCGCUGCACCAGUGCAACUCUGCAGUUCUGUGUUUAUCCAACCGGAACACGGUUAACUGGUUUAUACUGGAUUUUCCUCGAUUUUAUUACGGACAUUUAUUCAUACUUCAUUACACGCUACUAUUUCAUUCGAAACUUUCGACCUAACGAUAUUGCAUCGAUUUUACAAUAAUUAUGAACUAGCAAAGACAUUUCAUUAGAAUCAGGUCUACGGACUUGGGUGAACCCUGAUCUUAUUUUCUUUGGAAAUAUUCAGGCUGUAUUAAUAUAUAUGUAUACUGUGGCAAUACGAUAUCAAGGGGACAGAGUGUUCCGUGACACUGUACCCUGGACUAAUGACGAGGAGAUGCCUUUGGAUAUGUAUAGUAUAAUGAAAACUAUCUCUUAAUUAAACGACCGACGGUCGCGAUCUUUUUGACCCGCGUAAUUCUCGGAAACUAAGGAAGUUUCGUAUGCUCUGAAUUAUCGUCGUCUUACGUAUAAAUAAUAUGAAAUUAUUUUAGGGCUUGGUUCACGUGCUAUCGGCGACGCCAAAUUUAUAGAGACACUGGUAAAGUUUUGGUAUCGUUAUCAUUGCGCUAUUCUUACUAAUUAAAAGAGAAGAUCAUCGGGCAUCCAAUUACUUUUGUGUGUAUGUUAUUCGAAAUUAUUGUGACUUAAUUAAAAUGAUCUCGGCUUUGGAAAUUUUUUAUUCGUCUUCUAAUCACACGAAGCGGAUGGUUUUUCUAAUAUUUUGAUUCAAGUUGAAGACACAAGCCUUAUCGUCAAAAUUGAUAGGAUUGAUUAAUGAAAUUUCAGUGUUUUGUCAUUUUUUUAAAAAUUUGAUAAUUAAUUGCAAUACCGGAUAUUGAUUUUAUUUUGAUGAAAAAUAUUACUGAUAAAUAUUAUUAGGAUUACAUAGAAUUGGAUGAUAUAUUAUUUGAACGUGAUUGAUUACGAACGGUCGUCGACUUCGGCCGAUACUCGAUAGACGAACUAAAAACAUGAUAACUCCAAUCGAGCCUCUUUGUCGGGCUUGUCAAUGUUUUGACCAAUCAGAAGUACAGUUACUUGCCAAGCCUCCAGCUUAUCAUUCGGUACGUGCUAUCAUUAUCAGAGUGGAAUUUUCAAAAUAUUUGGUAAAAUGCGUGAAAAAAGUAAUAAGAGACCUUGAAAUUUUUUUAACAACUUUAAUAUCAUUUAAAAAAAUUUUCUUAACUUUAAAAAUAUUUUAUCUUUCGACAAUACCAAAUAUAACUGCAGGUAAAAUUGCGAUGUUAUCACGCGUCAAAUAUAUUGCAAAGUAGAAAUGACUAUCAUUCGCAUGACUUUAAUCAGUAUCCAUUACCUGUGUUAUAUGUAUAUAUAUGUAUAAUUAUUAUAUGGCAAUGUUGAUUUUCUUGUCUUAACGAUCAUUUAUUAAUUAAAUCAUUUUGAUAUCUUUUGAUGUUCUCGAUAACAAGGAAUCGAAGGGUUAAGGAAAAUUUAGUCUUUCGAUAUAAAAAUUUCGUAACGUCUCAUUAGACGAAUAGAAAAUGAUAGGAACGUCGAGUCCAAAAAUAUACACAAUAAUUUGAUUAAUUAAACUUCUAAAAUUAUCAGUGUUGUCAUUAUUCCCAAGGAAUAACACGAAAUCGUAUGAAGCAAUAAUCUUUCGCUGCUUAUACAUUUUUCGCUCUAUUGACACUGCACUACGGUGACACUCUCUUGGUGUUACUUAGAUGCAAACAAAUUGAUUGUGUCUGAUAUCGCUUGAAUUAUAAUUAUUGAAACAAAAAAACUCAAGAAUCACGAAAAAUGAUAUAUUAAAUAUCACAAGUAACAAAAUCUUGUUUACCAUAUUCGUAAUUUAAAAAAAUAUAUAAUAAAAAUUAUGAAAUAAAUUUAUAUAUUUUUUUAAAUAUACGUAUCAGUGCAA